rnacentral:lncRNA from 1 species
AUAAAGCUAGACAUCAUCAUAUUGGAGUUUCAUGAUUUCAUAUAUGCAAAAAUUUUUAAAACAAGUAUGCAGCGAAAUUUAAAAAUUUCAGAUUAAAUCUAAUUUAAUCUAAGCAUGCAUAAGAUCAAAUCUUAAAAUCAUAAACAGGAUCGAUAUAUGUGAGAUAGAAUUCAGAUACAGAAAUCAAAUAGAGAAAAAUAAAUAAACUUCAUACCUUGGCAUGGAUCAAUUUUUACCACAAACUGAUGAUCAUGGAUGUCUUCUGAAGAUCCCUUAUAGUCGCACC